GUUGUGGGCGCGCGGCCGUCUGUGGUGGCUGAGGCGGCUCAGAAGGCUUGGCGCUGUCUCUGCCUGUCUCCCCUGCCUACAGUGCGCUGCGUUUCACAGGGCGAUUUUGUCUCUUCGUAGCCCGACGGGAGACUUUAAGCACCAAUCCAGGAAGCCCCUUGCGGAGUAGAGCCCCAGGUGCCUCCCUUCCUCGUGAGGUUGGAGCUUGUGAAAUGCAGCCCCUGGCCGCGUGCUGAAUUACGAUUAUGGAGCUGCCUGAGGUCAUGGAUGAGGUCUCUUGCGACAGCUGAGCUGCAGUCAGGUCUGUUCAGAGAACACAAAGUGCGGAAGCAGCCCUGUCCCUCUCAGCAAGCACUCUGAUGCACACCCACACGUGUCCUCUCUCUCUGGCCCAGCAUCAUCGGGGGAGAACUCCCCGAUUGCCGAUGAUUACCAAACCGUAGCUGACCAAACAAAGCUGGGUGCAGUGGAGGGUGUGAGCCUGGCCUCUGAGGAGCUGAAAUUGGGCGACCACCUGCCAGGGGAAGAGGCCACAGCCGUGACUCCCACCUUGGAGCCAAAGAUUGACUUGGUCCCUGAGAGAGAGGAGCCGGAGGGUACUGAGCCGCCGCGUGUAGCGCCGGAGCAGAGCUCAGAGCUGCCAUCUGUGUGGCGAGAGGAAAGCAGCGGGACUCCACCGCCAGCACCGAGGGACGGUGGUGGGCCACCAGCACCACGACCGGCAGGUGACAGUGCGCUGGUGGAAGGCACUGACAGCGUUGUGGUGGAAACCAUCAAGAAAGUGCAUAUUGCUGAAGAGGACCACUUCAUUGAGGGUGAGACGGGAGAACAGGUGGAAACUGAGCUGCUCAGUCAGAUAGUAAGUGGAGGGCCUGAAACAAAAGAAGAGGAAACAGGAGAAGUGGAUGGCGCAGCAGCGACAGAGAUAGAGACAACUGGUAACAAAGACUAGAAGCUGCGUCUGUAUGAACAUCCUCUUGUUGGGCCGGCCCUUCUGUCCACAUGAAAGUUGUUUAAUUUCGCUGCGUUGGGAAAAUAGAGCUUUUUAUGGAUGGAGCCACAAACCAGAAUAAGAAGCAUCAAAGGAGGUUUUAUGUAUGUUUUUGAAGUCAAGCUGCCAAGACUUCAAGUGUUUGAAAUACCUGACCUGGUACCUCCCUGCCACAGAGUGCCUUCCGUACAUCGCCAGCACCGCGGGGUGAUUCUGACAGACGUAGAACCAUCCAGUUUUCAAUUAGGAGUCUUUCCAGGUUCUAACUUCAAACCUCUGAAACCUUCAGCGUUACAUAGGAUAAAGAAUAUAGUGUAGACUGGUUUUAGUUUUAUUUUAAUGGUAGCGUAAGCAGAAAGUCAGAAAGGGAAGUCCUACUUCUGAGAACUCCUGCACGUGCAGGUAACCCCUCCGACUGCCUGCACAACCAGGUUAUGGAGCUGCUGCAGCGAGCUGCACUCAGAGGAGUGGAACCCUAACUGCCAAUUUGCUGGGUGUAACUGAAUGCAAAGGUUAGUUUUUCAGGCAGUGAAAGAUACACAGGUUGCAAUGUACAGUAACCAAGUAGGUGCCUUCUGCUAACUCAAUUUUUAAACAUAUUUACUGAAAGGAGGAAAAAAAAGAAAGGCAUUUUUAACCAGGAGGAGAAUGUUUUAGUCUUCUGAAGUCUGGCAUACUUAAAAUACAAAUCCACAGUUGUUAGCACGCAUGGUGAUUAAUGGGGCAUCUUUAGCUAUGUAGCACCUUACAUACACUCACAGCUUCUAAGAUACCUAACUAGUGACUUAUGUAAGCCUGUUCCCAUAGGAGAGGUCAUUGUUCCAUCCCCUGUUUCUCCAGGAGAAACAUGCAUUCAGGAAUGGUGUUAUGUUCCAGAAUGCUAAGGAAGUAUUUCAGAGCUGAAGCUGAAUGACAAAACCUUCAAACAGAAUGUAUGUUGAAAAGAAACUCCCAAUAUAAUUGGUCUUAUGGAUCUAAUAGAGUAGAACUUUGAUCUGAUGGUGAGUGAUGCAGAGGGAGUCUGUAUUUUUAUUGGAGACUGUUUGGAAGACCCUCUGGUGUAAGGAAGUAGAACACGAAGGAAAGGUCAAGCAUCUCAGAAGGGAAAAGGUUGCUAUUUUUAUUAGCUUUACUGUACAAAAGCUCUUCAACAAAUGUUACUGUCAGCAGCAAAUUAUCAAAGUCCCCUCUAAGCUAAAUUUUGUGCUGCAUAUGCAUGCCUGACUUCAGCUGACUUUGGCCUUAUUAAAUAUUUUAAUUGAUAUCCUUGGCCUAUCAGCUUUUUCUCCUUUAGCUGAUGUUCCUUAGCCAUAGCACUGCAUUUAAGGUUUUCUGCCAGUCAGCAAUCUUUUCAGACUGGGCUGCGUUCCUCCUGUAUGCUGGGGAUUUGGUUUCACUACCAGCACCUGAGCUGGCACCACCCAAAUGUAGGGAGUCUGCUGUGCUGACUGCUUGCAAGUUACAUGUUAGAUCCAGAGAUGCAGUUUGACUCGAUAUAUUGAAAGAUUUAAAAACAGAACUGAUGGCAUUUCCGUAAAGACCAGUAGCAUUAACAGCACCAGCAGAGACUGCAUUUGGAAAUAAAAUAGGAAGAUACAAGAGUCAAGAUAAACUGUUCACCUCAGAAUCACUCUCACUGCCACCGUUGUUACAAGGAAGACAGGUGACAGUAUACACUCCUACCUCCUUAUUCAGCUUUUUCAAUCAUUAGAAGCAAUGCUAAUUGGAAACAAGAGGAAGGUUACCCGACCAGUGACUCAGCAGGUCAGCCCUUCUCUGUCAUCGUCAGUCUUUACGUAUCUUGUAAUGCUUGGCACUGUGCUAAACAUGAAAUGUUAAUUGUAUUAAUUACAAAAUCAGAAUUCAGAUGCUAGACUUAUGCUGAACAUCCCUCUUUUGAGAAAUAAGGCAGUAUCCUGCUGAGGCCUAGUAUUUAUGGUCUCUAAGCUACUAAAAUGUGUACCAUGCAUAAAGGGCCAAAAUACAUGCAGUUAUUUGUUUCUGCAAACCUCUGCACAUCACAGAGAUUGCCAAGGGCAGAAAUUGGUCUGUGGAUCAAACAGCUUGCUCAGCUUGAAUGCUGAGAAGAGGAUAUGCUCUGGUACCUGUUUACAAGAUAUACCUGCAGAGCUAGUACAAUGUACCUCAGCAUUUAUUUUAAACAUCACCAAAAUAAAAAGGCAUAAAUGUGUAUCGAAAGCUAGACAAUCUUAAAUCUCAAACUUCAUCCAAGCUAGCACUUACCAUUCUGUGCUACAGUAAGUGUUGAAUAGAAUCAUAGAACGGCCUGGGUUGAAAAGGACCACAAUGAUCAUCCAGUUUCAACCCCCUGCUA